GACGAACGCUGGCGGUGUGCCUCAAACAUGCAAGUCGAGGGAGGGUUGGCGACUAGCUUGCUAGUUGUUCAACUCUACCGGCAAACGGGUGAGUAACACGUGGGAAACCUGCCCUGAAGACGGGGACAACUUCGGGAAACCGAGGCUAAUACCCGAUACCCUCCACGGGGGGCAUCCUCUGUGGAGGAAAGGUUCCGGAAGGUUCGCUUCAAGAGGGUCCCGCGGCCUAUCAGCUAGUUGGUGGGGUAACGGCCUACCAAGGCAAUGACGGGUAGCUGGUCUGAGAGGACGAUCAGCCACACUGGGACUGAGACACGGCCCAGACUCCUACGGGAGGCAGCAGUUGGGAAUCUUGCGCAAUGGGCAAAGCCUGACGCAGCGACGCCGCGUGAGGGAUGACGGCC
rnacentral:rRNA from 1 species